rnacentral:rRNA from 1 species
UACGUAGGGGGCAAGCGUUGUCCGGAUUCAUUGGGCGUAAAGAGCGUGUAGGCGGCCUGGAAGGUCAGCUGUGAAAACUCGAGGCUCAACCUCGAGACGUCGGUUGAAACCACCUGGCUAGAGUCCGGAAGAGGAGUGUGGAAUUCCCGGUGUAGCGGUGGAAUGCGCAGAUAUCAGGAGGAACACCGGUGGCGAAGGCGGGUCUCUGGGCAGUAACUGACGCUGAGGAGCGAAAGCGUGGGGAGCGAACAGG